GGGCCAGCUCUAGCCUAGCAGUUCCUUCAGCUUCACACAAUUUAUGUGCUCCUCGACUGGGUUUUGAUCCUGCAGACACCCUUUGGCCCACUC
ensembl:vault_RNA Vault Vault RNA